AUGUACCAUGACAUCAAGAGUGAUAGGAGGAAGGAUAACCUGGAGAGUUCACUCACUAUUCACCAUUUGACAGAAGAAAAAAAUAAUCUAGAGGCCAACUAUGACAAAUUGGUUGAAGAUGUGCACCAACUGUUCAAUGCUCAAGAGGAUAGGAUGGUAGAUUUCAGCUAUUUGCAGGCUAAGAUGCAGAAUGUGCAGGUUUUUGAGACAGUUGUAUCUGACAUGAAGACAGAGAUGGGGAAGAAAGAUGCAGAGAUCUUCAAGCUGCUGGAGAAGUAUAAAGUACUGAUGAACAUCACAAAAUCUCAAGGCACUGCCAUCCAUAACCUGAAGUUCAAUCAUCUAAAAGAGAAGGAAGUGCUUAGUACAUCCACCAGGAACCUGCAUUUCCAGGUUGAUGAACUCAAAAAAUCUGAGGAAAAGCUCAUCCAGGAGAACACCCAGCUGCUCCUUCACAUGGGUGAUCUCAAGAAGGGGCAUGACAAGCUCACAGCAAGGAGGGAUCGGCUAAAGAUUCAGAUUGCUGAACUGUUGAAGUCAGAGGAGAAGAACAAGCAGAAAUUGAAGGGGAUCCUGGACAUCUUGUCAGAAUGA
rnacentral:rRNA from 1 species